rnacentral:rRNA from 1 species
UACGUAGGGGGCUAGCGUUGUCCGGAUUUAUUGGGCGUAAAGAGCGUGUAGGCGGCCAGGUAGGUCUGGUGUGAAAACUCGAGGCUUAACCUCGAGAGGUCAUCGGAAACCAUCUGGCUAGAGUCCGGAAGAGGAGAGUGGAAUUCCUGGUGUAGCGGUGAAAUGCGCAGAUAUCAGGAAGAACACCAAUGGCGAAAGCAGCUCUCUGGGACGGUACUGACGCUGAGACGCGAAAGCGUGGGGAGCGAACAGG